UUUGAUACACUCUCUUUUUUUACUGUACCUUUAACAGUAAUCUCUUUGAUCUGCUUGCUUUUCUCUUCAAUCCAUUUCUCACGGCGGACCUUCUCCUUGGCACUCAUCAGAUCCUUUAGCUUCUUGAUCUCCUGUG